rnacentral:rRNA from 1 species
GCGAGCGAGCGGGAAGAGCUCAAAUUUAUAAUCUGGCACCUUCGGUGUCCGAGUUGUAAUCUCUAGAAAUGUUUUCCGCGUUGGACCGCACACAAGUCUGUUGGAAUACAGCGGCAUAGUGGUGAGACCCCCGUAUAUGGUGCGGACGCCCAGCGCUUUGUGAUACAUUUUCGAAGAGUCGAGUUGUUUGGGAAUGCAGCUCAAAUUGGGUGGUAAAUUCCAUCUAAAGCUAAAUAUUGGCGAGAGACCGAUAGCGAACAAGUACCGUGAGGGAAAGAUGAAAAGCACUUUGGAAAGAGAGUUAACAGUACGUGAAAUUGUUGGAAGGGAAACGCUUGAAGUCAGACUUGCUUGCCGAGCAAUCGGUUUGCAGGCCAGCAUCAGUUUUCCGGGAUGGAUAAUGGUAGAGAGAAGGUAGCAGUUUCGGCUGUGUUAUAGCUCUCUGCUGGAUACAUCUUGGGGGACUGAGGAACGCAGUGUGCCUUUGGCGGGGGUUUCGACCUCUUCACACUUAGGAUGCUGGUGGAAUGGCUUUAAACGACCCGUCUUGAA